UCGUGCUACCACCAGGGCCAUGCUGAUCUAAGUGAACUAUGCUGGAAAUGGGGUCAUGAUGACAUCCAGGCCUGGGCUGCUGCCAGGGGCCAUGUUUUGGUCCAUGGCUCUACCUCAGCCAGGGUCUCCUAUUACCACUGAAGGCCAUGCAACCAUGCCAGAUAGCCACAGGAUCUCCAUGAGGACCCAGUGAUGAUGGUAUGCCAGAGGCCUUGAAACAGACCAACGAACAUUUUGUGCAUGGGGCUAAUUGGACAAAAGGGUAUACUGAGCGACACACUGCAUCUCCCAGUGCCACUAGAAUGAAUGAAGAGGUGUUGGGAAGAUGGGGGAAUCAAGGUAGGUAGGGGGUGGAAGAGAAGAAGAAGAAGAAGAAGAAGAAGAAGAAGAAGAAGAAGAAGAAGAAGAAGAAGAAGAAGAAGAAGAAGAAGAAGAAGAAGAAGAAGAAGAAAGAGCAUUAGAGCAUUUUCCAUGUCCUGAAAUAAGGUUGUGAUCCUUGAUCACUUGACUAGCUUCUAUGUGACACUAUGUGUAUCACAUCCUGACCACUCUAAAACAAGUGACGAAUAUCAGCCCCAUCACUCACUUUUCCUGGUUUAUCAUAUAACAUAAGGCAGGACCAAGGAAAGAGCCCUGCUGCAGCAGCAAUGUAUGAUCGAAUUACUAAAUAGAGCCUUUGUGCUUGAGUCACUGCUGGAAGAAAACUCUACAGAAUAUCACUCAUCAAUCAAUAUCCCCCAUCUCUCUCCUUUCUCUUUUUUUUGU